ensembl:lncRNA
GUAAUUUUCGGGAGGAGAUUUGGAAGAUUCUCGCUGUCUUCGUAGUCAAGGCUAAGUCAAGUUACAGCACUUCCAGAAGAUAUUGUUUUCCCCCUGAGGACGCUCUUGGAGGUUGCUGCAAUGGAGCAGAAAUUGGCAGACCCCACCUUCCACAAAACAAGUGGUUGGCGUGGUGGCAGAAAUUGGAGGAAGAACAUUGGAUGAAGUCACCAGAAGAAUGAUGGCCUUCCUUUUAGACCACUCCCUAUCAAGAGAGUACAAUUUUGUUGGCUGCCAUGGAAAGCAAGAGUUUCGGGGCUCAAACUGUUUGAGUUUGUAUAUGGAAGCUUGAAAAAAAAUGCCCUUACAAACCAGAUUACUAGAAGAGAUGCUGAAAAGGCAGUGUCAAAGUGGCUAAUUGGUGCCAGGGACAGGGCAUGAAACCGUACAGCGAG